UCCAGUGGUGGUCAGCUGUCUGUGCCACUACCAUGUCUGUGACAGUGUUACACCAUUGGAAGAUAAAGGUACUGUCUAUUUUUGUUGUGUCAUUGUCUCCGUUCUGGAAGCAGCUGACACCAACAUGGGACAAUACUAUGCUUCUCUGAGAGUGUGCUGUGCAGUUAAUAGCCUGUUCAGCACUAGUCUGGAAGUAUACAUA
rnacentral:snoRNA from 1 species